GGCUGCGCUUCCCCCGCCCCGGGAACCGCCAUCAGGAGGAGGAGGAGGAGGAUCUCUACACCCGCGGACCCUGGCUCUGCCAGCCUCGGAACCUGCUGUGGCUUCCUCUACCUCCUCCAGCUGCCUAGCCUGGUCUGAGAGUCCAGCUCUGGGCUGAGGAGGAGGAAGUCGCGGCCCAGAGGGUACAGCAACAGUGGAGGCCGGCUGUACGUGUUCCUGUAUAAGGGCCCGAGAGGUGUCAGUGCCUGGGAAAGACGUCUACAGCAGGGAGGGAAUAAAUAACCACUGGGGUGCGUCUCCCUCCAGCCCUUUUCCAGCCUGUAGACUGUGGAAACCCACAGAGCACUCAACUGCAGCUUGCGGAUAAUCCUUAAAUUAAACCUGGAAAGGGUCCCGGGACCCGCACUCAAUACCCUGCAAAAUUUAGAUGUGCUAGCGAUUGCUUGUCUGACUGGGCCGUUUCUCCUCGCAAAUGAUGGUGAAUUACUUACAAAAAAAAAAAAAAGAAAAAAAAUGCGCCUAGACUUCUCUGGGAUGUGUGGGGGAAGGGAGGGAGCCGCUGGUUCCUUUCGCCUUGUCCGCCCUCGCCCUCGAUCUUUCUCUCCACCACCGCCCGGCAAGCUCUGCUCAUGUAAAACCAGAACAAUUAGAGAGUAAUGAAUUCUCUGGAACAGCAACUCCUACAGACUCUCAGCUCUGCCCUCGCUCCAGCGCCUCCCCGUCCUCCUUCCCAGCAACCAGGCAAGAGUACUGCAGACCUUCAAAAACCAGCCUCGGUUAGCACCUGCAUCCUGACAAUUUAUAAAUGAAUUCUCCACUGAGUGUGUAAAGCAGGUGCAUGUUAUCUCUGAGUACAUUGGUAUCGUAGCGAAGCUUUGCUUUUAAAAUGACAUGAUGCGUUUAGGAGUCUUUUAUCU
rnacentral:lncRNA from 1 species